rnacentral:rRNA from 1 species
GCCGCUCAGAACUUAAGGAAUUGACGGGACCCGCACAAGCGGUGGAUGAUGUGGAUUAAUUCGAUGCAACGCGAAAACCUUACCUACCCUUGACAUGUACGGAACCCUGCUGAGAGGUGGGGGUGCUCGAAAGAGAGCCGUAACACAGGUGCUGCAUGGCUGUCGUCAGCUCGUGUCGUGAGAUGUUGGGUUAAGUCCCGCAACGAGCGCAACCCUUGCUUCCAGUUGCCAUCAUUAAGUUGGGAACUCUGGAGGGACUGCCGGCGCCAAGCCGGAGGAAGGUGGGGACGACGUCAAGUCAUCAUGGCCUUUAUGGCUGGGGCUACACACGUACUACAAUGGCGUCUACAAAGGGCUGCGAAGCGGCGACGUGGAGCAAAUCUCAAAAAGGACGCCUCAGUUCGGAUUGGAGUCUGCAACUCGACUCCAUGAAGUUGGAAUCGCUAGUAAUCGCGGAUCAGAACGCCGCGGUGAAUACGUUCCCGGGCCUU